rnacentral:rRNA from 1 species
AGUGAACGCUGGCGGUAGGCCUAACACAUGCAAGUCGAACGGCAGCACAGUAAUAGCUUGCUCUUACGGGUGGCGAGUGGCGGACGGGUGAGGAAUACAUCGGAAUCUACUUUUUCUUGGGUGAUAACGUAGGGAAACUUACGCUAAUACCGCAUACGACCUACGGGUGAAAGCAGUGGAUCUUCGGACCUUGCGCGAUUGUAUUAGCCGAUGUCGGAUUAGCUAGUUGGCGGGGUAAAGUCCCACCAAUGCGACGAUCCGUAGCUGGUCUGAGAGGAUGAUCAGCCACACUGGAACUGAGACACGGACCAGACUACUACGGGAGGCAGCAGAGGGGAAUAUUGGACAAUGGGCGAAAGCAUGAUACAGCAAUACCGCGUGGGUGAAGAAGGCCUUCGGGUUGUAAAGCCCUUUUGUUGGGAAAGAAAAGCAGCAGGUUAAUACCACGCUGUUCUGACGGUACCCAAAGAAUAAGCAACGGCUAACUUCGUG